rnacentral:tRNA from 2 species
GCCCACGUAGCUCAGGGGAUAGAGCGUCGGUUUCCUAAACCGUGCGUCGCAGGUUCGAAUCCUGCCGUGGGCG